UACGGAGGAUCCGAGCGUUAUCCGGAUUUAUUGGGUUUAAAGGGUGCGUAGGCGGCCUAUUAAGUCAGGGGUGAAAGACGGUAGCUCAACUAUCGCAGUGCCUUUGAUACUGAUGGGCUUGAAUGUACUUGAGGUAGGCGGAAUGUGACAAGUAGCGGUGAAAUGCAUAGAUAUGUCACAGAACACCAAUUGCGAAGGCAGCUUACUAAAGUAUGAUUGACGCUGAGGCACGAAAGCGUGGGGAUCAAACAGG
rnacentral:rRNA from 1 species